UCUCCCUGCUCGCCUCCCGCGGCCAAGGAGCGCCCCAACCUCGCCAUGUCGCUCGUGUGGCUCCCAUGGUGCCGCCCCGCAUAGCUCCUUGCUGAGCGCUGCAGGUCAUGAUGCCCGCCGAUUUGAUCUGCACAGCCACUCAAUCCUCGGAACUCCCAAUCGACGGCAACUCGACCGGGGGCUGGGGUGACAAGACUUCGACAAUGCAGACGAGGAAGAUCACGUCGUGGACGAUUGCCUCAGCUAGGGUCCUUUGUUGUCAUGGCACCGUUGACCCUGUGCUGCGGGCCGGCGAGGUCGUUGAACUUGCUGAAGGCAUCACCAAGCUUCUAUCUCUAGAUCUGCACCAAUCCUUGUCAGAAAAUUGAGAAGUCAUGGCAUAGUCAAAUCUGAACAAGCCGUGUGGAGCUUCACGAUGAGUCUGCGCAUGAAUUUGGGAAUGGACGGAUGUCACUCCGAAGAAGUCAGAGAAUAUUUUCAAUGCGCAGCAGGACAAGAGAAAAGAAGAGAAGCAAAGAGAGGUGGGUUAUCGCUCCUACAUUGCUUACAUGAACAUCUUGAUUUUUUUAGAAAGAAGGCAUAGACCCGACAUUAAAUUAAUGACACCCUGAAAAAUAGAAAAGGCAAAAGAAACAUGAUACAAGGUACAUGGUGCUGUAGGACCAGCUUACAAGACAUGAAACAAACCAUGCAAUAUAAAAAUAUAACAGAGUGGAUUUUCUACUCCCAGAUGCACCUACACCAUCCAUGAACAGUAAAUUCAAAAGAAAAUGAAAAACAGAAUAAAAAAAUAUGAAAUUUUGAGACAUGAAAUUAGAUCAAAAGUUUUAGCAUCUUGCAAAUUUUUCACCACGAAAUAACAUUCAUGGUGAAAAAUGAGGCGUAAGUAGAUUCACUCAUUUUGCUUCGUAAGUAGUCCAUAUUGAAAUCUAUAUAAAGACUUCUAUUUAGGAACGGAGGGAGUACAAAAGAAACGCCUCUUGAUCGUCGAAGUCCUCCGCCACGAAGCGAAACACCAAUGAGGCAUGUGUGGCAAAGGAUUUCAAUUUUCCUGUUUACACAAAGGAAACUCGAGGAAGGUUCAGAUUUCUCAUGCUUGGUUCUGUGCUCUCAGGGUUACAUAGACAAAAAUGCCUCCUAUUUACACAAAGGCAACUCGAGGAAGGUGUUUCUCUCUACUUUGUGCUCCAGAUUUGUUUCCCUACAAUAUGGCGGAUUAAUGUAUAUUCUUCUGAAGUCAUAGUACAUUCAUGGUCUGUACAUAUGUUUGUAUGCUGCAAACCUGAGUCCGGUUUCAAAGUUUGGCCGCAGCUAGCUUGAUUUGGAGACAUUUCCUGUUAGGAGUUAAACUUUGGUUUGGAGGCAUCGAGCUUUGGCUGUAACUAGCUUUGUUACUUGGUAUACCUCUGUCAGCAUUCAGGAGCCGGGUAGUUGUUGAGCGGGUUGUGGGAGAGGCGGUCGGCGAGCGCGGGCUAGACGGGAAGGUGAUGCUUGCGAUGGCGACCAUGCCGGCGGGCAGGGCAAGGUCGAUUGUGUCCAUCAUGGUGUUUCCGAGGGAGAGCGAGGCAUCUGCCAUCGCGCAUCUGAAGAAGUCGAUGCUCGGAGCGAGGUUGACCACCGUGGCCGGCGUGAAAGCGGACGGACUUAAAGGCCGGUGACAGGUUUGCCGUCGUCGCACCGUCUCUCAACUUGGCGGAGAGGCGAAAGGAGAGCGGUGGCACCAUGAAGACCUCGACGCCUGCUGCUGUGACCACGACCAGGCCAUUGUGUUUGUAAUAAAGAUACUAAUUGUAUACAUAUCCCCCAGCUUCAAAAACAUUAGAUAAAUAUCCAACUUAUUAUUGAAAAAUCUUGAUUCAAGAUAAAUGGAACCUUUCCUAUAUACAAUGAGCUUAUUAUUUGAAGGUUGCAUUGAUUGUGCUAUUAUUGCUGAAAUAAGAGGCUUACGUGAAUUUGUCAA